CUCGAUUGCACCUGUCUCUACGUCCGUGAUGCUCACCGCCUCAGCGACUCGCUGGAGACCAACCCAGAGUACCUCAAGAACGAUGCUACAGAGUCAGGCGAGGUCACCGAUCUUAAGGACAUGCAAGUCGGCGUCGGUCGGCGCUUCCGUGGGCUCAAGCUCUGGAUGGUCAUGCGCACCUAUGGUACCGCAAAGCUCCAAGAGCAUAUCCGUAGCGACGUCGCCAUGGCCAAGAUGUUUGAAGAUUUUGUUCGUGCCGACGACAGGUUCGAGGUGGUCGUACCAAGGAACUUUGCUCUUGUGUGCUUCAGGAUCAAGGCGACUGGAGCCAUGACGGAGGAGGAUGCCGAUGAGGCUAACCGUGUGCUAAUGGAGAAUCUGAACAAGACCGGUAAGGCUUAUCUUGCACACACG
rnacentral:rRNA from 1 species